rnacentral:tRNA from 1 species
CAAAAUGUAGCUUAACGUAAAGCCCCCCCGCUUACACCGAGGAAAUAUCUGUUAAACCCAGAUCAUUUUGA